AACGAACUCUGGCGGCAGGCCUAACACAUGCAAGUCGAACGGGACCUUCGGGUCUAGUGGCGGACGGGUGAGUAACGCGUGGGAACGUGCCCUUUGGUUCGGAAUAGCACCGGGAAACUGGGAGUAAUACCGGAUGUGCUCGAGAGAGGAAAGAUUUAUCGCCAAAGGAUCGGCCCGCGUUGGAUUAGGUAGUUGGUGAGGUAAUGGUUCACCAAGCCGACGAUCCACAGCUGGCAUGAGAGGAUGAUCAGCAACACUGGGACUGAGACACGGCCCAGAAUCCUACGGGGGGCAGCAGGGGGGAAUCUUAGACAAUGGGGGAAACCCUGAUCUAGCCAUGCCGCGUGAUCGAUGAAGGCCUUAGGGUUGUAAAGAACUUUCAGUGGGGAAGAUAAUGACUGUACCCACAGAAGAAGCCCCGGCUAACUCCGUGCCAGCAGCCGCCGUAAAAC
rnacentral:rRNA from 1 species